AACGUGUGUCCGGAGCUGUCGGGCAGGCGUGGGGAGAGAGCGGCUCCGGAGGCGGGAGCCCGAUCGGUCCCUUACCGAGCGCUGGGCACGUCCACCGGCCCGAGGCCGCCGCUGCCGCUGCCGGGGCCGGCUAGCACGUCCCCGCCGUAUUUCUCCUCCAUCCCGGGGAUCAGGAGCCGCCGCCGCUGCCCCCGCUGCGGAGUCUCCUCAUGUCUCGCCGCUGCCGCGGAACACCGGGCGCAGGCGCGUCACUCCCCCAUGCCAGCGGCCCCGUCGGGUCCCCGUAGGCCGGGCCGCUGCCGCAGUCCCCGGCUCCGGCUCACAAGCACACGCGCGUCGGGACUAGGCCGCGGACAGUUCCGGCGCCGCCAGGUUUCCCGGAGGCUCACCGGAUCGGACGGGGCCAGGCCACGUCAUCGGGCCCAGCAGCCCUCACUCUUGGGGGAGUGCCCGGCCCUGCGCCUGCGCACAGUACAACACUCGCCGUCCCCUCCCCUUCCUAAGGCUCUUCCUACCGCUGGGCUACGGACGGAAUCCUCGCCCCGUAUCAGCUCCUCCCAUUGACGAGGCCUGAGCACAUACCUGUCCCUGCAGCGCCACCUAUGGGCUGUCAGGAACACAGCGGGUUCUUCUGGAGCGCAGGGACUUCCCUGGUGACACAGUGGUUGAGAAUCUGCUUGCCAAUGCAGGGGACACAGGUUUGAGCCCUGGUCCGGGAAGAUCCCACAUGCCGCGGAGCAACUAAGCCUGUGCGCCACAACUAUUGAGCCUGCGCUCUAGAGCCCGUGAGCCACAACUACUGAGCCCACAUGCCACAACUUCUGAAACCCGCACACCUAGAGCCCAAGCUCUGUGACAAGAGAAGCCACCGCAAUGAGAAGCCUGCGCACUGCAAUGAAGAGUAGCCCCUGCUUGCUGCAACUAGAGAAAGCCCGUGUGCAGCAACUAAGACCCAACAACAAAGACCAAAUGCAGCCAAAAAUAAAUAAAUAAAUUUAUUUAAAAAAUA